GACGAACGCUGGCGGCGUGCUUAACACAUGCAAGUCGAACGGUGAUGCUCCAGCUUGCUGGAGUGGAUCAGUGGCGAACGGGUGAGUAACACGUGAGCAACCUGCCCCAGACUCUGGAAUAAGCGCUGGAAACGGCGUCUAAUACUGGAUACGAAACUGGCCCGCAUGGGCAUGGUUUGGAAAGUUUUUCGGUUUGGGAUGGGCUCGCGGCCUAUCAGCUUGUCGGUGAGGUAAUGGCUCACCAAGGCGACGACGGGUAGCCGGCCUGAGAGGGCGACCGGCCACACUGGGACUGAGACACGGCCCAGACUCCUACGGGAGGCAGCAGUGGGGAAUAUUGCACAAUGGGCGAAAGCCUGAUGCAGCGACGCCGCGUGAGGGAUGACGGCCUUCGGGUUGUAAACCUCUUUCAGCAGGGAAGAAGCGAAAGUGACGGUACCUGCAGAAGAAGCACCGGCUAACUACGUG
rnacentral:rRNA from 1 species